rnacentral:lncRNA from 1 species
UCCGGUGUAUUGAAAAUAAAAUUAUAAUAUAUGACUAGUAAAAGAAGUUGAGGAUCUCAUAGACUUUUCAAAGAUCUUGAUCUAAUGCAAGAGUGGGACAUAUUUUUAAUGUAGGUGUGGAAUUGCAGGUUAUCUUUGUCUUUAAUUUGUUGACUUCACAUGUCUUGCCAUUGUUACUUUAAAUACUGUCACUAUCUCAACAAAGAAAUUAAUAUAGGGCGUGGGCUACAAAUGUUGUUUUUCUUUAGGGUUUUGCAUGCAUCCAUAACACGAAAAGGAUGCAGUUUCAUGUGUUUUAAUUACUUCAAUGAAAAUGCGUGAUUGAUUUUUGAAUGCCUACCACCGUACAUGCAUAAUUGCAUGUAAUUUCUUCUUCUUUACGACAAGACGAGAGAGAUAUUAACAUGUUUGUAAUUUAAAAAUGUUGACAAAACUAUGCUGGUUUUUCCUCCCGAAAAUAAUUGUAGCGCUCCGCCAGUGACUGGAGGAAAGGGGGUGACGUGUAUGGACCAAUCAAACCUGCUAGUCUUUAGUCUAGUGAUAUUUUUUUCACCAAAUUUAAAAAUGUCUCAAAUUCCAAUUUUUUGAAUCAACAAAGGCAUAACUUCAAACUGCACUUAAACAUCAGCCCAAUGGUUUGAUGACUGUCACGUUUAUAUGGGCCUUGCCUGAAUGCUAUGUCUUCCCAUCCUUUUAAGAAGCCCAAUUAUUUUUCUUCAAAAGGUCAAUUAAUUAAUUAAUUAAUUUGGAAAGGGAUCCUCUUCGGAUCUCUUCCAUCAAAUUCACCUAAUCAAUCAAUCCGAGUUCUUGAAAUUGGAUCCAACAACUACAAACAAAAAGUUUAUUUAAAAGUUAUAAUAAUUUUAAGGGUAAAUUACACUUUCAUACCUCAGGUUUGUGAUCUAUUUAAAUUCCUUAUAAUAUCUU